GGAACUGUGCCUGAAACAAAGGACCACUUUGAUAGAGUGAAUAAUGGGGGUUAAAGUCCCCCCAGCUCCU
rnacentral:tRNA from 2 species